AACGCACAUUGCGCCCGCUAGUAUUCUGGCGGGCAUGCCUGUUCGAGCGUCAUUUCAACGAUCAAGCUCCCUGGGGCUUGCGUUGGGGACCUGCGGCCGCCCGCAGGCCCCGAAAUGCAGUGGCGGGCUCGCUGUCAUACCGAGCGCAGUAGCAUAUCUCUCGCUCUGGAUGUGGUAGUAGGCGCCGGCCGUGAAAAGCCACAUCUUAAAAGGUUGACCUCGGAUCAGGUAGGAAUACCCGCUGAACUUAA
rnacentral:misc_RNA from 1 species